rnacentral:lncRNA from 1 species
AUAUGUACUAAGAUAAAUUUUGAAAUAUACCAACAAAUCGAUAUAUAAAUGAAACAAUAUAUAAAUGAGACAUACAAGAUAAUAUUUAUUAAAUAAAUUAUAGGAGAACAAUGAUCGUCUGAGAGCCAGAUCGAACAUCAAUAGAUUAAUGCUAUUGAACCCAUAAAUCGGAGCAAAAUCAAGAAGGAAAAAAAAAUGACUACUAAAAAAGACUAAAAUUCUUAAUUUAAACCAGUCAAACAAAGAGAAUUACAAAUAAUAGACC